rnacentral:lncRNA from 1 species
GUUUUCCAUUCCCAUGUGUUGUGGGCUCCAUCCAGCCAACCUCUGGCAAAUGUUCAUUUGACUUCCCCGAAAGUCACACAAGAAAACAGUCACCGAAAAGACAUUU